rnacentral:lncRNA from 1 species
GAGAAUCUGUGACCUUUUUCAUGCGCGUGGUCCGCAGUCGCUCCACCACCACCACCUAUAAAUAGGCAGCUCCUCCGCAGAGAAUGAAAAUAUAGCAAUCAAAACUUAAUCCAUACACAUAUAUACCUCCGAGUUUCGUCUUCAACCUCAGCAUCAUCAUGUCUGACAAGUGCGGAAGCUGCGACUGCGCUGACAAAUCCCAGUGCGGGUAAUAAUCCUUUUUCUUUUUCUUCAACAUCAUUUUGAUCUUGUUUAGAAGAAAAAGAAUCUUAUGUAUCUGUCUGGAAUAGGUUGUGAGUUUGACUGCUUAUGUUAUGUUAUGUUGCAGGAAGAACGGCUACACAGCCGACAUCAUUGAGACCGACAAGAGGUAUAUACAUAGUUGAUCAACACAUAAACAAAAACAUAUUGAAUUAAAUGGAAUAUAUAUUUUGCAGCAACAGCAACAGCAUGGUGAUGGAUGCUCCGGCUGCCGCUGAGAACGACGGCAAAUGCAAGUGCGGCAGCAGCUGCAGCUGCACCGACUGCACNCCUAAAAAAAAACGAAAAGAAAAAAACUAAGGGCCGAGCCUUAAAACCUAAAAAAAACGAAAAGAAGGAGGAGAGAGAAGGAGGGGUAAGUUUUCGGAACUCCGGCCUAACCAUCGUCCCAAAACCAACCCGGCUUUCAGCCCGCAAAAAAGACAGAACAGGGGUAAGUUUCAUUAAUAAUUAAUGACUUAAUUCAAAAAAGAAAACCAUUUUUUCUCACAAGUUUCAUACUAACUAAUACAAAACAAGUUAAAAUUCUUGAACCUUAUAUACUAAAAUAGUACUUCAUAUAAUCUAUAGAAGAAGUCCACUUCAAAUCUCAAAGAUUCAAUUCAAAGGUAACAUACAAGUAUUUGAGAGUGUGCUCAUUUUAUAGGCACGAGUAAUACUCCCUACGUCCCUGAAAUAAGUUCAUCUUUUUCCAUUUUGGGACGUCCCCCAAAUAAGUUUCUCUUUCUUUCUUUCGAUUUUUGGACAACUACCUCACCACUAAUAAUACUUUAUUCAUUCUUACUUUUCACUUUUUCACCACUCCCAAUACUAGUAUAACAUUUUUUCACAUUUUCACCACUCCCAAUACUAAUUAUAACAUAUUUUUUUCCACUAUCAAUACACUUUACCAUUUUCCUUAAAACUCGUGCCGUCCCCAAAGAGGAACUUAUUUUGGGGACGGAGGGAGUAUAUUUUAUAAUUAAUGAUAUUAUUAAAAUAUUCAUUAGUCUUACUAGUUUCGAUGUCAUUUAUCAAAAUAUAAUGAUUUCACUGUCAGAAUUUCGCUCAUACAUAAUACUUCCUUCGUUCGCCAAAAGUGGAUCACUUUGAUUGGACACGAGAUUUAAUAAAAUUGGUGAUAAUUUUGAUGUAGUGGAGAAAGGAUCCCACCACAUUAUGAGAUGUGUGGUUGAGAUUGAAUUUGAGUUGAUUUUUUUGUAAAUAAAGAGUGUUUGUAAGGAUAAAAGAUUAAAGUAGAUGAUGAGACCAUUUCUAUAAAAGGAACGUGGUAUACUCUUUGCGGACACCCGAUAUAGUAAAAGUGAUCCACUUUUGACGGACGGGGGGAGUAGAAUUUUACGGUAUCUAUGCCCCAAAAAAUCAUAUACCAUACACUCAUACGUAACACUAAUAUCGUUAUCUAAAGUAUUAUACAUAACAACUGUAAAGCUGUUAUCUAUAGUUCUUAUAAAUAAUAGUUGUGUCCGUUAUCAUAGAAAUAUACCGAAUCGUUAUGCAUGUAUUUUAAUUUUUUUUAUAUUUUAUUAUAUUUGACAAAUAUUUUUUCAAUACAUAACUAUCGUCGAUCUUUACCGUUAUGUAAAACGAGACUAUCAUAAAUCUAUUUUUCCUCUCAAAUUUUUUUUUUUUUUUUUUUUUUUCAUCGAGUAAAGGAAGAAGAAUUGGGAUCGAACCUGAUCUCUCUCCUUUGCAUACAAAAUAAUCCAUAAAUUGUGAUGUCAUUGAAAUUAUUAUACACAUUAUAAGUAAAAUGAAUUGAAACAUAUCCACCGAAACUGGCGCAUGUAUAUAUAUUCCAAUAACAAAAGUAAAACACAAUAUACUAACUCGUUUACAAGUAAAGGCAAGUAAUAUCAUGUUGAAAUUUCCGAAAAUGAAAAACGGAAAAGACGAGACGAUAAAGGAGAAUCUGUGACCUUUUCCAUGCGCGUGGUCCGCAGUCGCUCCACCACCACCACCUAUAAAUAGGCAGCUCCUCCGCAGAGAAUGAAAAUAUAGCAAUCAAAACUUAAUCCAUACACACAUAUAUCUUAACUUCGUCUUCAACCUCAGCAUCAUCAUGUCUGACAAGUGCGGAAGCUGCGACUGCGCUGACAAAUCCCAGUGCGGGUAAUAAUCCUUUUCUUUUUCUUCAACAUCAUUUUGAUCUUGUUUAGAAGAAAAAGAAUCUUAUGUAUCUGUCUGAAAUAGGUUGUGAGUUUGAUUGCUUAUGUUAUGUUAUGCAUGUUGCAGGAAGAACGGCUACACAGCCGACAUCAUUGAGACCGACAAGAGGUAUAUACAUAGUUGAUCAACACAUAAACAAAAACAUAUUGAAUUAAAUGGAAUAUAUAUUUUGCANCAGCAGCAACAGCAACAGCAUGGUGAUGGAUGCUCCGGCUGCCGCUGAGAACGACGGCAAAUGCAAGUGCGGCAGCAGCUGCAGCUGCACCGACUGCACCUGCGCCCACUGAGAUGGAUAUAUAGCAGAAAAGGGACUGGGGCUGCUGCCCAUAUCUUAAUCUUAUCAUGUAAUCUAAUCUUUCAAUAACUUAGUUCCCACAUGUCCUAAACUAUUACCCUCCCUUUCCCUUUUUUAAUGAAUUCAUAUUAUAUAUAUAUGCUCUCUCUCUCUCUCUCUUAAUCACGAGAACAUGCACUCAAUAAGAAUGAAAAUUAUCCUUUAAUUUCUUCAUAAAAGAAAUUCAUCAACUUGAUAGCACAGAUUUCUUGUUGAUUCCCUCGCAAUGCAUUGCGCGGGAGGUAUCCAUUACAAGAUACGGCAAAAAGAUGUAAAGUACUCUGUUUGGCUAAGCUUAUUUAAAGAGCUUAUAAUCUCCAACCGCUUACAAGAUGUUUCAAGAGCUUAUAAGUUGUAGUUUCUUAAGAGCUUAUAAGCUCAGCCAAACACCCUCUUAAUAAACAAAGAAUUCCAACGACCACAGUUGAGCCAUUUUCAUGAUCAGCUUAAAAUUAAUUAUGAAGAAUUCGCUCAAUUAUGUUAAAAGGGAAAAAUGGAUCUUAAUUAAGUUACAUUAUAUAUCAAUUUAUUACUUUCGCAUUUCAUCUUUAAAACAGGAAAAGCGGGGAAGGGAAAAAUAAUAACGAAAACAGGAAAGAAUAGACAGAAGAAAUCGAUCGGGAUGCGCUUUAUAACUUUAAUUUAAUUACUUUAGUUUUGUAAUGGACAUGAAAUCACGUUUCAACCAAUAGAUACUUAUAAUCAGAAAUAUAAGUAUGAAAUUCGUCGCAUAAUCUAUAAGUUAAUUAAGCCAUUUUUUGUUCACUUCAAAUCCAAAUAUUUACCUCAAUUAAUUUAAAGUUAACGUGUUACAUGAUAGGAGAAACAAGAGAGAAGUAGCAAAUAGCCCCCUAUCAUACAAUCCCCUAACACGUUUACCUUCCUAUCUUUUGAUUAUGGGCUGUUAGCCUCUCAACAUAUCAUAAAGAGUGCAAAAUGUCCCAUGCUCUUAACGGACACUUAACACCGUUAAGUAUUUUUCAUUUUUUUUUAAUUUCUUACUAAUAUUUCUUACUAUAAGCAUAUAAAUAUUUUUUGAAUUUAAAUUUAAAUGUUUGUAAUAUUUUUUUUAAAUAAAAUCAUUUUUGAAUACACACACACUUUCACUGCGUUCUUGUAACAAUUAAAGUUAGAUUAGAUUUAAUAUACAUACAUAUUAUAAACAAAAAAAAUAAAUCGUACCAAUUAAUAUAGAGUAUAUAAAAAUAAAACAUAACAAAGAUAACCUUGUAUUAAUUAAAAACUAAAUUCUUAAUUAAGAAAUUAAUAUAUAUAUAUAUAUAUAUAUAUAUAUAGGUAAAUUUAAAUUUAUGUUCAUGUAGUGAGAUGUUAUCCAUUAUCUAAUAAGAAAACCUAGCUAGUUAGUGAAAAGGAGAAUUCAUAUUGUGCUUAUGUAAUAGGAAGAUAUUGAACUUCUUUGUUUUUUGGGGGGCUCAAUACUAGAUCAUUUAUCUGUAUUUUAGGAAGAAAGAACUUUUUUUUUGUGCUUCAAUGUUUGAUAUAAUCCUGAAAAAUAUUAUCUCAAACUUUGUAAAAGCAGACAAAUUUUCGUGCCUUGAUUUUUAUCAUGAUUAGAAAAGGUGAGAAUUCAAUAGUUUUUGUUAUAUGUAUUUUAUUUUAUUUUGGAUAUGAGAUCACAGGAAUUUGUGGUUAGUGUGCUAGGUUUACCAUUCUCAGCAAUUUUAUGCAUAUUUUAAUCUUUGCGUACUCGUCGAUUAUUCUCUAAAUAUGUGAAUUUAUAUUUAAUGGUAGUUGUUAAUUAUUAAUUAAGGUCGAAGUUUGCGUAGAAUUAUUUGUAGGAGUGUAUUUUGCUUAAGAAAUAUAUUAGUGGGAUCCAUUUAGAAAAUAAAAAAAUGAAAAUACUUAACGGUGUUAAGUGUUCGUUAAGAGCAAAGGGCAUUUUGGACUCUUUAUGAAAUGUUGAGGGGCUAACAGCCCAAAAUCAAAAGAUAGGGAAGUAAACGUGUUAGGUGGUUGUAUGAUAGGGGGCUAUUUUCUACUUUUCCCAAUUAUUUUUAAUCAUUUAUUUUUACUUUUAUUAGUUAAAAGUUCAUUAUUAGAUUAAUAAAUUCAAAUAUUUAGGGUAUAUAGUUUAGAAAAUAAAAAUUAAGUAUAAUGUAUAAUAUUAUAAUAAAUUUAUUUAUAAAAAAAAUAUUACUAAAAUAUCAAUCCACAAAAAAAUUCUAGAAGGGAUGACACGAGUUUUAAUGAAAAUGAUUUAGUUAUGUAGUGGAGAAACGAUCACAUUUAAAUAUAGUGUUAAUAAUGAUAAUUAAUUGUAUUGUUAAUGGAGAAAAUGGCUCACCAUGUGAUAGAAAAUUUUCAAAAGUAAAAAUAAACUAAUUUUUGUGGACGUUCCAGAAUAACAAUAAAAGACAUUUUUUUUUUGAAGGAAUGAAGUAAUAGUGGUAUAACAAUGAAACAUAAUGACAUACACAAAUUAUGGAACAUUUAAUCUUCAACUCAUCUAUGUGAAUUUGUUAAUGCAAGAACAUAAUUGAUCCUCUUGCUUUACUAGUUCCACAUCAUUUUUCUUUAUCAAGUUGGUAGUUUUGUUGCUAUUACACAUUGGACUAACAUAAAUAAUAAUGCAAGUUGGGACAAAAGCAAGUAGCAAGUACAUUCAUAAACAAUACUACUAAUAUUUAGUGAUGUCAUAAUUGCAAGAGUGUGGUAUUAUUGUGGGAUUUGUGUGACUUUUUAAUAAAGAAAAUCAAGAGCAGGCCAUGAAAGCUACAAUUCUACAACAUCAAUAUUAUCUAACCAUGCAUGUAAUCACAAAAAUUUUGAAUUCUUCAUAAAGAUUAUUCAAUUGUUUUCUUUCGUUUUACAUAUUAAUCAAAUUGAUGGGUCAUUUUCUCAUAACAAACGCUUGAGUUAAAUUUAGAAAUGUUCCAUUUUAUGGUGAUUGUAUUUCUCCCUUUGUCAUCUAAUGAAUUAUGGUGUCCAAGUUCCAACCAACAAGUACCUAUAAAUAUAACUGAAAUUUAUAUAAUACAUAGAAGAGGAGUUUUUUCCCUCCAAUUUUUCCUUCUAUUUUUUCUCUCUCUUCUCCCAUCAAAUUUUUCGCUAUUUUUUUCUCUCUUUUUUAUAUAAUUAUUUUCUAAAUAUCGUCAAAUUUGAUUGAUGAAUAAAUAUUCAAUAUGCUUCUUAAGUUUAAGUUCAUAACAAGAUCUUUAAUAUGGUAUAAAAAAUAUCAAAAAUGAAUUUAAAACGAAUAGGUUAUUAAAAUUUUAAAAUAUUUUAUUUUCUUUCUGUUUGUUUUUACAAUUUUUUUUUAUUUAUAUUUGUGUAUGAAAAUAUUUAUUUAUUUAUUAUUGUGUGGAGUACUCUACAAUAAUGAUGAGGACUAAAUCCUCCAUCAACGCUGUGUUUAACAGUACAUGAAUAUUUCGCCUAAUUAUUAUUAUUAUUAUUAUUAUUAUUAUUAUUAUUAUUAUUAUUAUUAUUAUUAUUAUUAUUAUUAUUAUUAUUAUUAUUAGUUAGGUUAAUUAGCGCAGGUUUAAUUAAAGGCCUCAGAUAGUAAUAAGAAGUCUACCCGCGAAGACAACAAGAAGUCUACUUACGCAGCAGCCGGUGGACAACUUGCGCAGCAACUAGUCAACAACUCGGUCAACAGUCAACGCAGGCGACACAUGAUAAUUCAACUCCGAAAUUAAUACUAUUGUAGUGAGUUUUGGGCCUAAUUGACCAAAUGAGUGGGCCUUCAAAAUUAGGGUUUACUUGUUAACUGUAAAUAGCACAUUUACUGGUAGAUGUGGGGGGGGGUUUGACCUACCACUUGUAACAUAUAAACACUCUCGAAAUAUAGUGAAAAUAUCCGAAGAACCCCGUGAACGUAGAUCUUAUGAUCGAACCAUGUAAAUCUGUAUCUCGUUUAUCAUUUUAUUGGUAGGUAUAGUUUUUUGUUUCAUCAAAUAAUAAUAAUGUGUAUACUAAUUUUCAUUCACUACAAGAAAUAAUAUUAUCAAAUAGUUUAAAAUUAUUUAAUAACUAUAGUUAUCAUUACACUUUAUACAUAGUUAAAAAUUUACAUUUUUAAAAUUCGGGUAGUUUAUUGUAAUAAUUUGGUAUUUUAUUUUUAAAUCUAUAUUUUAUACUAUUUGUUUAUAUUUGGAUUCUAUUUAAUAUUAAUAUUUAUUUAUUUAAAAUAAUCAUUUAAUUUCGAUUUCGUCGUGCGUCGCACGGAUGGUCAUGCUAGUAUUUAAUGGAAGAUGUAUCAAUGAAGACGAAAAAGUAAGAGAUGGAGUAUUUACAUAAUUAAGUUAGUUAUAAUUUAAGCAAUGCUUUUUUGAAUAUGUUUAUUAGAAGAGAAGUUUGAUUAUAGAAAACUGUGAAUAGGCGAAAGUACCCACUUUUAUAACUUGUCUUACAAAAGUACCCACCCAAGCCAAAGUCCAAAAAGUCAAAGCCGACAUGCUUGGUUUUUUGGAAAAGCAGACCUGACAUGCUUCGGUUUUUGUAAAAUGUCUAACUCACGUCAAUUUCACAAGUUAAAAAUGUGAUGAAGAGACAAUAAUUGCCCAACUCACGUCACUUUCACAAUCUAAUGUAUACUGUAUGUUUGAAAAUUUAUAAAAAAAUUAGCUUACGUUUGCGUUAUAAAACAUUAGUAAGAGGACUAAAAUUUCACUAUUAUGUAUAUUAUGCAACAAAAAAAUAUUCAGAAACCAAUGAAACAAUUAGCCGCCGAAAAUUCAUAGCCGUGAACAGUAGCCGGCGGUCCAAAAUAUACACGGCUACUGGUCAGCGNCCCGGUGAAAUCAUGUGUCCGCCCGGGCGGACACAUGAUCUAGCCACCCACCGGUCAUAUGUACUCUUGACUGAUAGCUGUCAAAUCGUUGACAUUUAUGAUUGAUAGCUGUCAAAUCGAUCAACAAAUCGGUCAAAUAUGUAAGACUUUCACAAAAAACCAAGCAAACCAUCAACAUUAAAGGGCAAAAUAGGUACUUCACAUAAUUAGGGCAUAAAAUGCUUAAAUUUAUAAAGUAGGUCAUUUUUCAUAUACAACAUAAGGAAUAGGGCAUUUUUGCCUAUUAAUAUAAAAGAAAAGGUCAUUUUAUUGUGUUAGUACAAGGCACUUCACGUCCAAACCAGCUGCCAAAGAGGGGCCUACCAAGUGCUCGACGAAAACACAAGAAGAAAAAGAAGAAUAAAAGAGAAACUUGCACAACAUAGACACGCACAAAAAAUGUUUAAUAUAUAAAAGGUCAGAAAUAGAAUACACCAAUAACUAAAAAAAAGAGGAUCUUACGCUUCGCCGUCGAUGAUCCAAUGCCCAAAAGAUGAUUUAAGUUGACUUACUUUAGCAAAUAACAUGCUUCAAAUAAAUGAAAAACUACAUAUUUAGUUACCGUUGCCGAAUUUUUGUCAGAUGUGCUCAAUCAGGUUAUUUAUCAAAACAAUGUGAACUUCUCUAUUGCGAAGUUGUGCCCUAUUUGUCAUGCAUAUAACUGGAUAGACUUGCAAUCUAUCUAGUAGAAAAUUCAAAAUUUGGAUCAACAAUUUCUUCUCCAUCUCCACUUUCUUUACUAUUCAGUGUAGGUCGAGCUUCCAUAAACUAUGUGGGAUCGCGAUAAUUUAGGUAAGUGUGUCGUUCAUCUCCCACUAUAAUAUUGUGCAUAAUUAAUUAACCAAUUAUUAUUUUUCCCACAUAUCACGAUCUCAAAUAAGACAUAGUCACUUAAUAAAAGUGAAACAAGCUUGAAGAAUGCUAAAUGCUCGUUCAACAUUUUUCGAGCACCCUCUUGAUGUUGAACAAAUAAUUAGUGCUUCAAAAUUUGUGGACAAUUAAUAGGUUUGACAAAUGCCGCCCAUCAAGGAUAUAUGUCAUCAGUAAGAUAAUAUUUCAUAUUAUAUUCAUGGUCAUUAAUGAUGUAUAACUAACCUUCGAUGCUCGACCUUCCAUGAUAUCAUUAAAAAUAGGAGAUUGUUCAAAUACGUUGAUAUCAUUUUUUGAACAUGGAGUUCCAAAAAAUACAUUUAUGGAAAAUCCAUAAGUCAUGUGAUGCAACUGCAUUCAAAAUGAUUAUCGAUUUUCCUCUUCUUCCUGUAUGUUGUUCCAUACUCCAACACCCUCAUAGCUGCAGUACAUUUCUGAAUUGAAGAUAUACCUAGACGAUCAUCGACAUUACGUUUUUGUUGAAAAAAUUCAUUAGAGGCAACAAUUUUGUUCAUUAUACAUUCGAAUAAUAAUGUUCACAUGAGAAACCUUGCUCGAAAAACUUCAGGAUGAUAGAUUAAUGUGAGAAGUAUUGUUUGAACAGACUUUCGUGCCCCUUCUCACGUUUCUGUUCAAUGAACCGCCUUGUGUGGUUUGUCGAUUAUAAUGAUACUUCAUCUUCGAUCACGAGAUCAAGUUCUUAAUAUGGGUCAACAACGCAUUUUGCCCAUUCAUCAACAUCUUGUUGGUGAUUGAAAUUAGAACUUGAUGCCAUUUUUUUAGGAGUGUGGAAUGAAAUUUUAGUUGAAAAAAGAAAUUCAACAAAUGUAUGUUGAAGGAAAGUCAAUUCUGCCGUGGCGCACCCUCUGCUAUCGCUGCCGUCGCCGCCCCUGCAGCCAGCUGCAUCUACCCCUCCUCUUCCCGCACCCUACAGUGCUCACCGGCGGAGCCUCCGCCGCAUCGCCGCCUAAGAGCUACUCUUCUCUCCCUCUUUGGCUCCGGAUCCAGCCUCGACCACCUAAAUCCGGUGACAGUAGUGGCGAAAGGCCAACCACCGCCUCGAUUCCGAUCAAUUCCAUUCUUGCUCAAUUACACACAAACCCAUCCCUUUGAAACCCCCCUUCAAUCCCAACAGAGCCCUAAUUCUCACUGCGGCAGCGUAGAUCUGGAAGAAGGCGAUGAGGACAGAGUUUUGGAGGAAGGAGGAGGGCAGACGCAAGUUUGGGAGAGGGGGCUACGCAGGUCUGGGGAGAGGGAGGCGCCGAGGUGCGGGAAGGGGGAGGGUCCGACGGAGGUGCGGAUGAGGGAGGUGGCAGCGACAGAUGGUGGGGAAAGGAGAAGGGGCGGCAGAGGGCGGCGAGCGCCGAAUGGGGGAAGAUGGGGAGGGGAAAGAAGACGAUGGGGGGGAAGGUUAUUCCACAUGUCAAAUUAUUUUUCUUUUUUUAUUUUAUUUUAUUCCACAUGUCAAAAAUAUACUUAAGUGUCAAUUCCGGCUGCCACCAUGUCGUUUCUGGCACCGGCGUAAGAAAAAACGAUCACCGGACAAAAACGAGGCAAAAAUGAAAGGUUAUGUAUUUAGAGGCAUAUUUUUUAAAAUAGGAGCAAAAAUCAAUUCUGUGUAAACGUUAUGGAUUUACAUGCAAUUACCCCUUAGAUUUUCAAAUUAUUAAUUGAAUAUCAAAUAAUAAUAACCAGCAUUACAACGAUCACCAGUCAAAUAAAAUACAUACAAAUAUAAAAAUAAAUGUUGUUUUUCGUAUUCUUGCAAUGUUGGUGGUUCAAAGAUUUUGCUAACUUAAAGGUAGAAAUGCAUCUAGUUUCCUAACAGUGAAAUCAAAUGUGUCUGUUGGAAUACAACUGCCAAUUACAUAGCCAUGUGUGGACGGGACAACUGGACGCAAUCUUACGUAUUCCAGCAUGCUUCAACACUGGAAGGAUAUACGGGAGAUGUCAAAAUGGUGCAAUGGAAUCCGUCAGUAGAUAUCCUUUGUUCCUAUAGCUUUGAUAAUUCUAUCAAGAUGCUUUUAAUUAUGAAAGGCUAAUGGUUUGGAUGUUUGAGUAUAUCGGAUUCUUGUGGGCUUAUAUUGAAUCCAUGUAUAUUUAAUUGGUAUAGGUCUGGACAGAGGAUUAGAAAGGUGCUGAAAGCUGCAUUCAAACCAUCAAAUAGAUACACUUAUUUUUUUUAUAAGGAAUGAGAUUAUAAAAGUUUCUACUAGUAACAUUCCCUAUUUUCUUAUUUAAUGAAUUGGACACAGUUUAAUUGUAUGUGCCUUUUCUUUUAAUGACAGUGGAGACAAGGUGGUAUCCUGCAGGUAUUCACAGCUUCCAUGCUUGCUUAUUGAUGCUCCAUAUUAGUAAUUUAUAUUUUUUGAAGUUGGAUGUUUUUCUUAUAUUAUACAAUUGUAAUGAAAUUUGUAAUAUUUUCAUAACUUAAAAGAUAAAAUUUAUAAUUUUUUAAACUUAUAUAAAAUAAAUCUCACUAAUACUACAAGGAUUCAAAUAAAAAUGACUUUUUAUAGUUGUAUACAAGUCAAAUCAAUAACCAAUAUUUCAACUAAUAAAAUAUUUUUAUCAACGAUCAUUAUUAGCUAGUUAAAAUAUCCAUCAAAAUAUCCAAACAUAUUAUUCGGAUGUUUUUGCCCCUUCUAUAUUAUAAAUAUAUAUUAGAUUAAGUUAAUGAACAUUCAUCGAUUAUAAUAUCUUAUCCAUUAUAAAUUAAAAUCAAUAAAUACAUAUACACAUUUAUCGUAUGAAAUAUAUCAUUUAUAUAUAAUAAAUUAUUAAUUGUGUAUAAGUAAAUCUUCUUAAAUUUAUUACAUGUCACUAUAGAAGUUAUAAGGGGUUAUUGCCGGAAAAUACUCAAAGUUUGUAAAUUUUCUGAUUUAUAUCAUGACCUUUUCUUUUUGUAAAAAAAUACAUAAAUUUAAGAUUGAUUCUAAAUCGUUCCACUAUGGAUGAUUUCGCUCAAAUCCAAUAAGAAUAAUCUACUGAUUAGGGGGUUUAAAUAAAUCCGUAGACCAAUUAUAGGGUAUAAUAAAGCAAUUUACGACUUGUUAUUUCUCACUGUGACAUCAUAUUGGAUUUAGGUGAAUUUUUUUGAUGUGGGGCGAUUUAAAAUAAAUCUUAAAAUCGUGUAUUUUAUGGCAAAAAAUAAAAGACACAAUUAAACCAGAAAAUUAUCAAACUUUUGGUAUUUUGUGACAAUAACCCCAAGUUAUAGCAUUCAAUUUAACUAUUAAAAUUAAUUUGUGUUGGGAACUUAGUGAAAUAUCCUAAUCCUUGUUUUGAUGAUACCAAAAUCAAUAGGUUUCAUUUGUAAUAGACUAGAACUGCUUGAACUCAAGUGUUGUUCUUUUUCUAGUUUAGUUGUUGUUCUGAAGACUGAAGACUAAAGAACGAAGGAUUGAAGACUGAAGACUGAAGUUGCCGACUGAAGCAUCAGUCGAAGAAUCAGUUUUGACUGAUCACUUAAAUGCGAGCCACGUGGAAUCAGCGGACUGAUACUAAAGUAAAGUAUCAGUUAAAGAUUAUUCCUCGGACUGAACCUCCAACGUUCAAAGGAAGCCACGCACUCCAGGAGUACAGCCGCAUUAAAUGCAUAGAUCUCAGGAUCGUCCUUUCUCUGCAGAGGCCAUUCCUUUUUGGUGAUUACCUUUUCAGAGAUGUUGCAUCUCCUGCUCCUCAACGUAGCGUUCUCACCAAAAAGGAACUCGAAGAUUGAAGCCUCAGCCCAAGUUCAAAUUACUCUCUAACGGAAGAAAUCUUGAAGACCUUCUCCGCCAAUGGAUCUAUUCAAGACGUCUCCUAUAAAUAGCGCUCGAGGAUCACUUCAAUCUUCACCGAUUCAACAACAUAAGCUGAAACGCUGCCAAAAUCAUUACUCAGCUCAGAGCCAAACCUCUCCAAAGUUUGAAUCGAAGAAGAGAAUCCCAAAGCCAAAAAUCAGUCACUGCUGAUUACAUAAAUUCUCUUAGACCUUAGGCAAACCUUGUUUAUCCAAAGCCUAGGUUAAACUAACUGCAAAGAACUUGUUCUUUGAAAUUUAGUUGGCAAGUUUUCAAACCUCCCUUCAACCUACUGAAUUGAGUGUUUGUGUCGAAAAGGAGUUCAGAAAGGUGCUCUGUCUCUAUGAGGUCCUAAUGCCCAGUGUGUGUGCUAGGAGUGAGAAAUCCAACCAGGUGUGUUGGUACUAAAGAUUGUUGUUUCGGUUGUGUGCACCUGCAAGCACACGUUCAGGUUUUCUGUGCACCCGUAAGCACGAGCAUCGGUUUGCUGCGCACCCGUAAGCACGAGCAUCGGUUUGCAAUGCACCCGUAAGCACUUGCCCAGUGAAGUUGUUGGCCUGAUCAACCGACCGUGGAUGUAGGAAGUGUUUUCCGAACCACGUAAAAAUCUCUGUCAUUUACAGCUUUCAGUAUUUACUUUCUUACUUGUGUUCUUCCCUUUUUAAACUGAAAACUGAUUAAUAGCAAAGAGAAACCUAAAGACUGACAACGUGCUUAACUCACAUGCUAUUACGAAACAAAAGUAUUAUGCUGCGUGUGUUAUCAGUCUAACUGAUCUAUCUUCUGAUAGUCAGUAAGAUUCAUAACAUCUCUGUUUAUCAAACUCGACUGAAGCCUUAUGUGUAUCAGUUAAGGUCUUUGACUUAACUGAUAACUCUUUACUGAAGAAUAUUCAGUAUCAGUCGUCAAUCCUGUUUUGGUCAAAACUCUUUUCAGUAAACAGGUUGUGUGAGUUUGUGUUUGAAGUUUCGUUUUGAUUAUUAUUAAAGUCAAAAAUAGCCUAUAGGUGUAUUCCCACCCUCCCCCCAUACACCUAUUCGAGAUCCUCCGGACCUAACAAUUUGUUAUCAUGAGCUAUGUUAUUGUAACAUUAAUUAUAAAUUGUUUAUUUAAAAUUAUCAAUACAUAAAUAUGAUAUGGCAUUUGUACAUCUUUACUAUAUUUAAAAGGCAACUUUCAAUUUGAAAUUAAUUUCAAAAUUGAAUGACAAUUUUGUAGUUAUACUAAAUUGAAUGUUUAUGUGUAAACUAUUUUUCCUUUUAUUUUCCUUUUUCUUAACUUCUUAUUUGUUGUUUUAAUUAUUUUCAAAAUUGUGAAAUUCAAUUAAUUAUAAAAUAUUUAAUAUGCAUAUCAAAUUAAAGAUCAUGAUAAGAGAUUUAAUUUGAUAUAUUUUAUGUAAAUAUUUGAUUUAAAAUGUAAAAAGUAAAUUUGUUAGAAUAUUAAAAUUUAAUAAAUUUAUCUCUCCUCUCUCAUCUUUUUUGCAUAAAUCUAUUUUAAUUCUUUUUUAUAAGUAUUUUUUUUAAAACUUUUUUUUUUUUGCUUUUCAUAAUACCAAAUUCUAUAAUUGUGAAUUUUUUUAUUUAUUUUUAAAUAUUCAAUCAAAAUAGGUUGAUGAGCAAAUAAUCUAAGUUUCAAAUAUAAUCUCAUUUUAAUUAGUUUAUAUAUAUAUAUAUAUAUAUAUAUAUAUAUAUAUAUAUAUAGUAGGUAGGGNAUAUAUAUAUAUAUAUAUAUAUAUAUAUAAAUUUUCUUCAUAAUUUUAAAUAAUCAUAACUUUUUAAUUUUAAGCCUUAUAUAUAAUAUAUCAAAUUAAAGUUUUUCGUCCUCAAUGGGACACGAAGCGGUGCGACCUCCUGUGUGUGAAGAGUGAGGUCCUGGGUUCAAACCCCACUGCUCUCCCUCCCCAACUCCCCCAAAGUACAAAAAAAAAAAUCAAAUUAAAGUUCUUGUCGCAUUUUUAAUUUAAGAUACAUAUUGAAUAUAUUUUCAUUAACAGAUUACAUGAGCUUACAAAAGAAUAAAAUUAUAAAAAAGAAAAAGAAAAUAUAACAUAUAAAUAAACUUCCGAUUGUAAUAUAAAAUAGAUAAUGGGAAAAAGAAAUAACAAAAUAAAGAAUUCGACGACCAUUGAGCAAUUUAAAAAAGUAGAGACAGAGACAUGAUUGGCUUAAAAUCAUGAAGAAUUUGUUCCUCUUAAAAGUUGGGUAGCAUAUCAGUUGUAUCACCAUAACACCAUUGUCCUUGUUUCCUCACUCAACCGAAUAUUUAAAGAGAGACGGAUGGAUCUUAAAUUACUUUAUGAGUUUGUAUAUUUUGGAAAAGUACCCACAAAAUUAUAUGCUUCAAAACAGGAAAAAGGGGAAACGAAAAGAAUAAGUAGAAAGAAGAACUAGAGCUAUAAAUAAAUCAAGUGCUCGCUAAUUAUUCAGAGUUCGACUCGAAAAAAACUCGUUCAAAUUCGUUUAAAGAAGUAAAAUAAAUAAACGAAUCAAACUUGAAUUUAAUAGUAUUCGACUCGUUAGCUCAUGAACAAAUUCGUUAAGUGAAUUAGCUUGAAAAAUAUAAAUUAUUAGUAGAUACAACUUAUAUUUAUCCAUUAAAAUUAAUAAUCUUUGUACGAAAUCUCUAAUUAUCACUGUUUGUUAUAAGAAAAUAAUUAAUAUAUUUAUUAUUUUGAAUGAAAUAAUUUAUUUUCAAAAUAAAAUAAUCCAUAUUUUAAAUAUAAAUAUAAAUUUAGAAAGUACGUAUAUACUUUUGAGCCUCAAAGUAUUCGGUAAACAAAGUUCGGGAUUUAAUUCGAUACUAAACAAACCAAACUUGAGCACACUACUAUUCGGUUCAAAUUGGUUCGAUUACACCCCUAAAAAAAACAAUAGAGAAUAGAUACAAGAAAAUAUCAAAAUGUUUGAAAUUGUUUCUAAUACUAUCACGCUAUUUAGAUUUUAUCAAAUUACUACAAAAGAUUUAAACAUUUUCUUCAAUGAUAUUGUAUGCAUAUAUAAUUCUAGGGGGGAAAAAGAUGCACUCAUUUGUCUUUGUUCCUUUUCUUUUUUUGGUAACUCUACAUCAUCCUCCAGCACUCCUGAUCAACCUUCAUGCUCCUAAAAUAUUGUUAGAUGGAGUAUUAAUUUUGGUUUUCUUAUAGAUAAUCUAGAUAGUUCGUUGUUACAAAGAUUAGUACUUCCUCCGUCCUUAUAAAAAGUAAUCAUUUGUAAAUAACACGAGUUUUAAUAAAGUAGUUGAAUGUGUUGUGAGUGGAGCAAAAGUCCAAUUUUAUUGUGAGGGAAAAACUUACUAAAAAUAAAUUGAAUAUAUUUUAUGAAGACGGACGAAAAUGACAAAUUAGAUAUAUUUAUGUUGUUUGGAAUACAAAGAUGCUCCCUCCGUCCAUGAUUUAAUGCUCUAUUUAGGUGUGGGCAAGGAGACUAAGAAAACUGAAAAAAAGUGAUGUGGAUAAAAUAUAAGGAUAAUUGACUAAAGUGAUAAAGGUAGUUGAUUAAAGUGAUAAAGGUGUUGUGAGUGGAUCCACUAGUGAUAAAGUCUAGUAAAUAUAAAAUAUAAAAAUGAUAAAAGUGUUUUAAGGUGGGUCCAUUAGUGGCAAAAAGUAGUAAAUAUAAGAAAAGAAGAAGAGUAAAAUAGUACAAAAAGUAGGAAGUAGAGCAUAAAAUUAUGGACGAAGGGAGUAUAUGUUUAUCCUAAAAGAAUAGAACACAAAGAAACGAAAGUUGAGUAUGCAAAAUAUGAAGUGAAGUAAGAUGUUGAAAUUUCCGAAAAUGAGAAAUCUCAGAAACGGAAAAGACGAGACGAUAAAGGAGAAUCUGUGACCUUUUUCAUGCGCGUGGUCCGCAGUCGCUCCACCACCACCACCUAUAAAUAGGCAGCUCCUCCGCAGAGAAUGAAAAUAUAGCAAUCAAAACUUAAUCCAUACACAUAUAUACCUCCGAGUUUCGUCUUCAACCUCAGCAUCAUCAUGUCUGACAAGUGCGGAAGCUGCGACUGCGCUGACAAAUCCCAGUGCGGGUAAUAAUCCUUUUUCUUUUUCUUCAACAUCAAUACUUGAUGUUUUAUGUAUGCCGCUCCAGUCUAAAGAUUAGAGCAUGCAGCUUCACAAUAAGAAUAUAACAUGAAAAUGUUUACCGAUUGCUCAUGUUAUGUCUAUUGCAGGAAGAAUGGGUACACAGCCGACAUCAUUGAGACCGAGAAGAGGUAUAUAUAGUGAUCAAGACAAGCAAUUACAUAAACAAAACCUAUCAUAGGUGAUAUUGAGUUGGAAUAUUUUGUUGUUUUGCAGCUACACUAUGGUGAUGGAUGCUCCGGCUGCUGCGGAGAACGACGGCAAGUGCAAGUGCGGCAGCAGCUGCAGCUGCACCGACUGCACCUGCAGCCACUGAGGCCAUCACCAAAUGGGGACACUAGAUUUCUUAUCAUGACAUAAUGUAAUCCUCUAUAGCACUGAAUAAGUUUGUCUGUCUGCUAGUGUCCCUUUGUAUCCUUACACCUUCGCCUUAUUCAAUGAAUUAACAAUUUAACACUACUCUCUCUCACAUCCAAUGCAUAGACUACUACUGUAUAUCAACUUUAUCUCGACUUUGGAUAUCCAAAUAUCAUCAUCUUAUUUUUCUAAGACGGAAACAACUCUGAAAUAUCAUAACUACAUAAACAUUGAAUGAGAACCGAAAAUUAC